CGCUUGCCCAGCACACGCACACACCUCCCUGACCCGGCUGCGAAUGUCGUCGCACGAGGCCGCGCCACCGCUCCGUCCCGGCUCCGAGCCGCCGCGCCACCCCUCGCCACCUCCCCGAGUCCCACAGCCGCGACGCGCGUGUCCCCGUCGUGCCACCACUGCCUCCCCAUCGCUGCCUCCCCGAACCCCCGCAGCCACGACGCAUGCCGUCGUCAUCGAACGAGGCCGAAGCCCCACCACACCACCACUCCCUCCCCCUCGCCGCCUCCCCGACCGGUCGCAUCCCUGCAGCUCAGAGGCUACCGGUAGACGGAGAGAACCCUGCUCCCUUGCCUAGGAUUCCCAAAACCCUAGCCUCGACCCGUAUACACGAGGACCCCCGACAAUGAGGAGGCUGCUGCGACAGCUGCGCCACGUUCAUGGUCGACAAGGUCAUCGCGCUCACCGCCUCGAGCACCCCCGACGACGAGGAGGCUGCUGCGACGGCCGCGCCACGUUCCUGGUCGGCAAGGUCAUCGCCCUCUAAUACCUCAUGCGCCAUUGUUGCAUCGUCUAUCCCAAGGUUAUCUCAGAGGACCAGCCAAGAACAAAAGGAGUUGAACAGAUGGAAAAACCAUUUCACAGGAUUGAAAGCAUGUUCUUUACCAAAACUUGAUUUGAGCACACACAAAAUAAAUAAUGCUAACUAAACUAAACUCAUUUGCCCCGCAUAGUUUCAGUUAUACAGAAUACAACUAAGAUCCUAUAAUAUAAUCCAGUUACAGAGGAGGCAAAAAGCAGUUUUGUGUUAACAUUUAUGUUGCUUUUACCACUAGCCUACUAUACUCGCUCCCAAAAAGGGAAGCGUAUUUUAUAGAGCGAAAAGCCAAACCUUACAGACUUUGUUCAACAAUUAAUCAAAUUAUAUAGGAGUUUAGGACAUGUAGAAGCCUCGAGCAAUGUCUCUGCCCGGUGCCCAGAUAGCAAAAUGAUUGUGGUGUUUACUGAGACACCAUAGGCCAGUAAAAAAAUCGCUGGUGCAUGAGGAUUUGCACCACUGCAAUAGGUUGGUAUGCCGCACAGCCACAACCACACAGGCAUACAGUCAAGACUAUGGUUGUUCCAAUUAUAAUCAAGAUAAAGUGAAAAUGCAGCAUGUUCCUAAUGCACUGUAUUUGUCCCAUUAGCCCAACAAUAUGUCACGUCCCCUCUGAACUAUGAAGGCUAUGGUUUACCAGCUGAAUGUUCUGAUUAGCUUAACCGUUGUAGCAUGGAGACUUGCAAACAUAAUUAGGGACACUAUUCUUCGAGUGCCUCUGUUAAUUACAGUGAGGAAUUCCCUAUUGUUUUUUCUCAGAUGUUUUGUCGAUACUCGGGAUUGAGUUGUGUGCCUAGGAUUCCAUGUUUUUUGAUUUGAGCUUUACUUCCCAGUUAUACUUCUCAUUCUUUGGGUUUUGUACCUAAUGACCUGUAUCGAAACAUCUAUGGUUACUAAAUUGUUCUUAAUCAGAUCAGGUAUAAACUUGUCAUCGUGGCUGGGGACAAAACGGGUGAAACUGAGUUUGUUAUGUUUGGCCGGAUAACACAGCAUGUCAGCAUCUCGUGCGGAAAACGGCUGCAGUGGUGUAUGCCCUGUCAAUAGAAUCAGCGGUGUAUUCCCUACAAAAUCUGACAAUAGCAUCGACGGUGUAUGCCCUAUCACCGGCAAGGAUCAUGGUAGCAACCUCAAGGAAAGUCGUGAUCAUGGUGAAGAAAAGGGCAAGGGUCCUUGUGUGGUACCAGCAAAAUGCCCAUUUGGUUAUGACUCCAACACUUCCAAGCUAGGUCUGCUUAGCUUCACUGUCUGCCAGACACUGCUCCAUGAAAGUAGAAAAUCGCAUGUAUAUCAUGCUUUAAAGACAGUCCACUAUGUGGUGCCGAUAUAGAAUUCAAGCUCUUGUUCACCGAUUCAUUGAUGGUCAUGCCAGAAUCAAGCGAUCACAUGCUACAGGGGAUGUGGAAGCAGCAGGUGACAAGAAUAAAGUCAUAUAUGAGGAUGUUUUCAUGGAGAGAUGGGCUUUUCUAGCGCAGCAAGCUGUGAGGGUCGAUAACUAAGAUUUUUGUGUCUAAAACAUUGGAAGUGCAAAGUCAAGGCUCACUAUGUAUGUAGACGAUAUCAAGGAGUUAAAAUGUUCAGAAGAUAGACCUAUGUUCACAACUUGGAGCUGUGUUAGGAAUGCUUGGGGAUUGUUGCUCGAGUUACCCUGUGGACCUAACAGAUCCUGAGUAUGAUCACAAGUCUAUAUUUGGGAGGACACAUUCUGUUGUGGCAUUCUUGCCAAAUUUAAAAGCUGGUAAAAAGAAGAGCUUGCUAGGAGAUUCAAAAGAGCCUGAAGACCAAGCACCACAUAAGGUUGUUAUUUUCAUCCUUUGUCAUCAAGUACUGGCUUUCAGGGACAUAAACACUCAAGCUCCAACACACAUCCUCAUCAUCCCCAAAGUCAAGGAUGGACUAACUGGUCUGUCAAAGGAAAGGAUGACAUUAAACCACAAGAAUACAUCACAAUGGCCAAAGCACAUCCUUAAGCGUGGAUUGUCUAUUCAAGAUGAAGGCACUCGAGCUGCUAUUGCAACACAACUCCAACAAAAUACUCUUGUUUAUUUCUUCAUCUAGGUCUACGACGGAUCCAUCCUGCUGGACAAUCGCUCAAGCAUCGUGUCAGAGAUGUUCGCCACACCCAACAACAACUCGAUGUGCGGGUACCCCGUAGUCGAUGCCGUCAAGGCGGUGCUGGAGGAGGUUUGCCUAGGCAUCGUCUCAUACGUUGACAUACUGGAGCUGAGAAAGGGACAAAACAAAGAACGAACUUCAAAUCAAAGCUAAAGAAGCGGAUAUUCAAAAUCUUAAAAAGCCACCACGUGGCCGCUCCUCAUCCUGGUGCUCCUCAACUGCAUCAAGAGGGCAUCUUGGGGAAGAAGCAUGGUGCCACCAAGAGCGUUGUCGUUCGGAUGUUUCGCGUUGUUGACCAGUGUGUAGAGGAUCUCAAGCUAUCAGACACAGUUAAUGCUUAAUCCUUAGAGCUGCAUAUAACCAAGUGGUGCUUACCUGGAUUUGAGGACCUAUGAUGCUUGUUUAUCUCAAGAGUAAUGUAGGCCAGCGAGUGCUCGGGCAGAUAGAAGAGAGAGAGAGAGAGAGAGAGGAGAUGCAGCGGCUCACGGGGCGGGACAUGUGGGACGUGGAGGAGUGCCAGAGCCCGCGCAUGGGCAGCGUCAUCCUCGGCGUCGGCGGCACCAGCAACACCGUCUGCGUCUGCAUCCCCGCCGCCAUGCCCUUCAACGACCCCCUCCCCGUCCUCUCCCGCACCGUCGCCGGCUACUCCAACCACAACUCCGUCGGAGAGGACAGGGCAAGGGAGACGCUGGAGAGGGUGAUGUCGCAGGCGCUGCUCAAGGCGCGCCGGCGACGGUCAAAUGUCUGCGCCGUCUGCUUGGCCGUAGCAGGCGUCAACCAUCCAGUCGAUCAGCAGAGAAUGCUGGACUGGCUCAGGGACAUAUUUCCAAGCCAUGUCAAGCUGUUCGUGGAGAACGACGCGGUGGCGGCGCUGGCCAGUGGAACCAUGGGCAAGCUGCACGGAUGUGUGCUGAUCGCAGGGACAGGGACCAUAGCGUAUGGGUUCACCAGUGAUGGUAGGGAAGCUCGAGCAGCAGGUGCAGGGCCAGUUCUGGGUGACUGGGCCAGUUAACGAAGUGGAGCACCUGAACUAGCAGUCACGUCUGCAAUAUACACACCAGCAAAACACUCCUGUAACACUAAACAGUUCAUGCAUAUCCUUGACUGAAGACGAUGUUGCAAAGGUUUCAGACAUCAGCUUUGGCGUUGACAAGAAACAAGAUGACGAGUACAAUGCUCCUGAUGAGUACAACGCAGUGUAUAAAAUUGCUUUGUACUACAACGCAGUGUAUAAGUUUGCUUUGUACUGCUUGAGACCAUCUCUGGAAGGCGUUCAUAUUUUGACGAUGAUGUGCUCCUAUAUUUUCCUUUCUGAAUACCAAAUUCUUUAAUAUGUCCUCUUGUGUGGAAUCAAGUUCCUAAUUUAGCUAGAGCAAUACUUGAAAAGAGGAAUCACAAUUAGUUGUUUUUCAUGUGAUUGUAUAACAAUUUCUCGUAAAUGAAUAUAAUGCUGACUAAUUUACUGUU